CAAUAGCGUAUAUUAAAGUUGUUGCGGUUAAAAGCUCGUAGUUGGAUUUCUGCUUGGGGCGGCCGAUGUGCCUUCUGGGUUACAGCCGGUUCGGCCUGAGCAUCUUCUUGGGAAUCGUGUCUGCACUUGACUGUGUGGCACGGGUUCCAGGACUUUUACUUUGAGGAAAUUAGAGUGUUUCACGCAGGCGUCCGCCUUGAAUACGUUAGCAUGGAAUAAUGCGACAGGACCUCGGUCCAUUUUGUUGGUUUCUUGGGUUGAGGUAAUGAUUAAUAGGGAUAGUUGGGGGUAUUCAUAUUUAAUUGUCAGAGGUGAAAUUCUUGGAUUUAUGAAAGAUGAACUUAGGCGAAAGCAUUUACCAAGGAUGUUUUCAUUAAUCAAGAACGAAAGUUAGGGGAUCGAAGACGAUUAGAUACCAU
rnacentral:rRNA from 1 species